GACGUAGGGUGCGAGCGUUGUCCGGAUUUAUUGGGCGUAAAGAGCUCGUAGGCGGCUUGUUGCGUCGACUGUGAAAACCCGGGGCUUAACCCCUGGCUUGCAGUGGAUACGGACAGACUAGAGGUAGGUAGGGGAGAAUGGAAUUCCCGGUGUAGCGGUGAAAUGCGCAGAUAUCGGGAGGAACACCGGUGGCGAAGGCGGUUCUCUGGGCCUUACCUGACGCUGAGGAGCGAAAGCGUGGGGAGCGAACAGG
rnacentral:rRNA from 1 species